AUUGAACGCUGGCGGCAGGCCUAACACAUGCAAGUCGAACGGUAACAGGAAGCAGCUUGCUGCUUCGCUGACGAGUGGCGGACGGGUGAGUAAUGUCUGGGAAGCUGCCUGAUGGAGGGGGAUAACUACUGGAAACGGUAGCUAAUACCGCAUAAUGUCGCAAGACCAAAGAGGGGGACCUUCGGGCCUCUUGCCAUCGGAUGUGCCCAGAUGGGAUUAGCUUGUUGGGGGGGUAACGGCUCACCAAGGCGACGAUCCCUAGCUGGUCUGAGAGGAUGAGCGGCCACACUGGAACGGGACCAGGGUCCAGACUCCUACGGGAGGCAGCAGUGGGGAAUAUUGCACAAUGGGCGCAAGCCUGAUGCAGCCAUGCCGCGUGUAUGAAGAAGGCCUUCGGGUUGUAAAGUCCUUUCAGCGGGGAGGAAGGGAGUAAAGUUAAUACCUUGGCUCAUUGACGUUACCCGCAGAAGAAGCACCGGCUAACUCCGUG
rnacentral:rRNA from 1 species